AUUGAACGCUGGCGGCAGGCCUAACACAUGCAAGUNGAGCGCGAAGGCUUUCGGGCUGAGUAGAGCGGCGGACGGGUGAGUAACGGGUAGGAAUCUACCUGGAGUGAGGGACAACUUGGGGAAACUCAAGCUAAUACCGCAUACGCCCUAAGGGGGAAAGCGGGGACCUUCGGGCCUCGCGCUAUCAGAUGAGCCUGCGUAGGAUUAGCUUGUUGGUGAGUAAAGGCUCACCAAGGCGACGAUCCUUAGCUGGUCUGAGAGGAUGAUCAGCCACACUGGACUGAGACACGGCCCAGACUCCUACGGGAGGCAGCAGUGGGGAAUAUUGCGCAAUGGGGCAACCCUGACGCAGCCAUGCCGCGUGUGUGAAGAAGGCCUUCGGGUUGUAAAGCACUUUAGUGGGGAGAAAAGGGUAGCGGUUAAUAGCCGUUACCUCUGAUGUUACCCACAGAAUAACACCGGCUAACUCCGUGCCAGCAGCCGCGGUAAUACGGAGGGUGCAAGCUUUAAUCGGAUUACUGGGCGUAAAGCGCGCGUAGGCGGUUUGUUAAGUCAGCUGUGAAAGCGCCGGGCUAACCUGGGAACUGCAGUUGAUACUGGCCGACUAGAGUACGAGAGAHGGAGGUAGAAUUCAUGUGUA
rnacentral:rRNA from 1 species